rnacentral:rRNA from 1 species
ACAGGGAUUGCCCUAGUAACGGCGAGUGAAGCGGCAACAGCUCAAAUUUGAAAUCUGGCUCUCGGGCCCGAGUUGUAAUUUGUAGAGGAUACUUUUGAUGCGGUGCCUUCCGAGUUCCCUGGAACGGGACGCCAUAGAGGGUGAGAGCCCCGUCUGGUUGGAUGCCAAAUCUCUGUAAAGUUCCUUCAACGAGUCGAGUAGUUUGGGAAUGCUGCUCUAAAUGGGAGGUAUAUGUCUUCUAAAGCUAAAUACCGGCCAGAGACCGAUAGCGCACAAGUAGAGUGAUCGAAAGAUGAAAAGCACUUUGAAAAGAGAGUUAAAAAGUACGUGAAAUUGUUGAAAGGGAAGCGUUUAUGACCAGACUUGGGCUUGGUUAAUCAUCUGGGGUUCUCCCCAGUGCACUUUUCCAGUCCAGGCCAGCAUCAGUUUUCCCCGGGGGAUAAAGGCGGCGGGAAUGUGGCUCUCUUCGGGGAGUGUUAUAGCCCACCGUGUAAUACCCUGGGGGGGACUGAGGUUCGCGCAUCUGCAAGGAUGC